CGGGUGUCUUUCUGCAUGCAAUGAAUGUACACAGUGAUGGCUGGGCCUGUACAGUAGCCCAGAUUUAUGAACUUCAAACCCAGAUCCAGACCCUUGGAAUGGGUCAAAUCCAAAUCCUCUGAUCCAAAUAGGCUGGGAUUUCCGGGUGCUGCUGGCAGGCCAGAUCUCACUCUGCAUUCCGUGGCCUGAUCUCCUCUCUAGCCGAGUCUGAAGCGUACUGCGAGAUGUCACACCAAGCUUUGUGCUGUAGAAAGCCUCAGGUAGUGCCCCGAUAGUCUCUCCAGCGCGUGCCGUGGGGUAGCUGACUAGCCCUAGAGUAUUACUUGUAAAUUUUAAGUUUAAUUUAAAAAAAACCCUGACCCCUCAAUGAGUUUUCAUUUUAAAGCAACGUAUCGAUCUUCACUAGAAAAGCGAGCGCUCCCAGCAGAGAUGAGAGCGUGAGCAGCUGAGGAGGAAGUGGUCAGAAACCUCUCAUUUCCCUGCAUGUUUGACCAUAUUUUGUUCUAAUUUCUAACCAUCUCUUCCCCUUUUGGGUUUUCUUCCCCUAGUGCCCAUUCCCAUAAGUCUUCCACUUGCAGCGAUGGGCUGGCAGGCACUUUAAACGCUCGCUCCGUGAACGCUCAGCUGGGAGCUCUGGGACAAGCCUGGUUUAUUGAGGCUUUUAAAUAAGGCUUGAACAUGACACAGACAGAGGCCACCAGCUGCUGCAGACGGGGCAGCAUUUUGCUAUUGCUACUUUUUCCCCUCCUCUAGCUGCCCCUCCCGCCGUCCUGGGCCUCCUUAAUCAACUUGCCAUUCUAGUUUAAGUCCUGAGUUGGGAGCUCUCUGCAGCUCCGGUUCACCUCAGAGCAACCCAGCUACCUCCUGAGAGCAGCUCAACUCUGCAGCGGGGAAACGGUGGUUUCUCUGUGACAUGCUGCUUCAGGAGAGCGUCGGAGCAUCUCCUCAUGCAGGAUGCACUGAACUCUCCAUCCUCCCACUCAUAGGGACUCCUCUAGCAGAGUUGAACAAAGGGCCUGCUCUCCACGCCGGCUAAUCAGGUCCUGUUGGGAGCCGAGCCAGGUGUCUUGCUGCUCUCCCCCUCCUGGAGGUUGGUUGGCCUUGCCCAGGGGAGUUGCCGCCUCCUGUCUCUGGUGGCAGUUUCCUCCUCAGGGGCUGCGUAG
rnacentral:lncRNA from 1 species